UGGGGAAUAUUGGGCAAUGGGCGCAAGCCUGACCCAGCCAUGCCGCGUGAGUGAUGAAGGCCUUCGGGUCGUAAAGCUCUGUGGGGAGGGAAGAAACCGCUUGCCGAUAAUACCGGCGAGUCUUGACGGUACCUCCUUAGCAAGCACCGGCUAACUCCGUGCCAGCAGCCGCGGUAAUACGGAGGGUGCAAACGUUGCUCGGAAUCAUUGGGCGUAAAGCGCACGUAGGCGGCCUGUUAAGUCGGAUGUGAAAGCCCCGGGCUCAACCCGGGAAGUGCAUUCGAAACUGGCGGGCUUGAAUAUGGAAGAGGGUCGCGGAAUUCCCGGUGUAGAGGUGAAAUUCGUAGAUAUCGGGAGGAACACCAGUGGCGAAGGCGGCGACCUGGGCCAAUAUUGACGCUGAGGUGCGAAAGCGUGGGGAGCAAACAG
rnacentral:rRNA from 1 species